UACAGAGGUCUCAAGCGUUGUUCGGAUUCAUUGGGCGUAAAGGGUGCGUAGGCGGCGGGGCAAGUCUGAUGUGAAAUCCCGGGGCUCAACCCCGGAACUGCAUUGGAUACUGCCUUGCUUGAGUACUGGAGAGGAGACUGGAAUUUACGGUGUAGCAGUGAAAUGCGUAGAUAUCGUAAGGAAGGCCAGUGGCGAAGGCGAGUCUCUGGACAGUUACUGACGCUGAGGCACGAAGGCCAGGGGAGCAAACGGG
rnacentral:rRNA from 1 species